GUGCCAGCCGCCGCGGUAAGACGAACUGUCCUAACGUUGUUCGGAAUCACUGGGCUUAAAGGGCGCGUAGGCGGUCCAUCAAGUCAGGGGUGAAAUCCUGCAGCUUAACUGUAGAAGUGCCUUUGAUACUGAUGGUCUGGAGGGAGAUAGGGGUGUGUGGAACUUCCAGUGGAGCGGUGAAAUGCGUUGAUAUUGGAAGGAACGCCGGAGGCGAAAGCGACACACUGGAUCUCUACUGACGCUGAGGCGCGAAAGCCAGGGGAGCAAACGGGAUUAGAUACCCUCGUAGUCC
rnacentral:rRNA from 1 species